GAUGAACGCUGGCGGCGUGCCUAAUACAUGCAAGUCGAGCGAACAGACGAGGAGCUUGCUCCUCUGACGUUAGCGGCGGACGGGCGAGUAACACGUGGAUAACCUACCUAUAAGACUGGGAUAACUUCGGGAAACCGGAGCUAAUACCGGAUAAUAUAUUGAACCGCAUGGUUCAAUAGUGAAAGACGGUUUUGCUGUCACCUAUAGAUGGAUCCGCGCCGCAUUAGCUAGUUAGUAAGGUAACGGCUUACCAAGGCAACGAUGCGUAGCCGACCUGAGAGGGUGAUCGGCCACACUGGAACUGAGACACGGUCCAGACUCCUACGGGAGGCAGCAGUAGGGAAUCUUCCGCAAUGGGCGAAAGCCUGACGGAGCAACGCCGCGUGAGUGAUGAAGGUCUUCGGAUCGUAAAACUCUGUUAUUAGGGAAGAACAAAUGUGUAAGUAACUAUGCACGUCUUGACGGUACCUAAUCAGAAAGCCACGGCUAACUACGUG
rnacentral:rRNA from 1 species